ACGAACGCUGGCGGCGUGCCUAAUACAUGCAAGUCGAGCGGAGUUGACGAGAAGCUUGCUUCUCGGAUACUUAGCGGCGGACGGGUGAGUAACACGUAGGCAACCUGCCCUCAAGCUUGGGACAACUACCGGAAACGGUAGCUAAUACCGAAUACAUGAUUUGUUCGCCUGAACGAAUUUGGAAAGACGGAGCAAUCUGUCACUUGAGGAUGGGCCUGCGGCGCAUUAGCUAGUUGGUGAGGUAACGGCUCACCAAGGCGACGAUGCGUAGCCGACCUGAGAGGGUGAUCGGCCACACUGGGACUGAGACACGGCCCAGACUCCUACGGGAGGCAGCAGUAGGGAAUCUUCCGCAAUGGACGCAAGUCUGACGGAGCAACGCCGCGUGAGUGAUGAAGGUUUUCGGAUCGUAAAGCUCUGUUGCCAGGGAAGAACGUCCGGGUUAGUAACUGAACUCGGAGUGACGGUACCUGAGAAGAAAGCCCCGGCUAACUACGUG
rnacentral:rRNA from 1 species